rnacentral:snRNA from 1 species
ACAUUAAAGAGAAGGUUUUAGAGAGAGAGAGAGAGAAACAGAGAAGAUUAGCAUGGCCCCUGCUCAAGGGUGACAUGCAAAUGCAUAAAAUAUUUCACAUUUUU